ACUCAAAGGAAUUGACGGGGGCCCGCACAAGCGGCGGAGCAUGUGGAUUAAUUCGAUGCAACGCGAAGAACCUUACCUGGGUUUGACAUACAUCAGAAAGCCGUAGAGAUACGGCCCCCCUUGUGGUUGGUGUACAGGUGGUGCAUGGCUGUCGUCAGCUCGUGUCGUGAGAUGUUGGGUUAAGUCCCGCAACGAGCGCAACCCUUGUCUUAUGUUGCCAGCACGUAAUGGUGGGGACUCGUAAGAGACCGCCGGGGUCAACUCGGAGGAAGGUGGGGACGACGUCAAGUCAUCAUGCCCCUUAUGUCCAGGGCUUCACACAUGCUACAAUGGCCGGUACAGAGGGCUGCGAUACCGCGAGGUGGAGCGAAUCCCUUAAAGCCGGUCUCAGUUCGGAUUGGGGUCUGCAACUCGACCCCAUGAAGUCGGAGUCGCUAGUAAUCGCAGAUCAGCAACGCUGCGGUGAAUACGUUCCCGGGCCUUGCACACACCGCCCGU
rnacentral:rRNA from 1 species